AUUGAACGCUGGCGGCAGGCCUAACACAUGCAAGUCGAACGAGUGGCGGACGGGUGAGUAAUGUCUGGGAAACUGCCUGAUGGAGGGGGAUAACUACUGGAAACGGUAGCUAAUACCGCAUACCAUCGGAUGUGCCCAGAUGGGAUUAGCUAGUAGGUGGGGUAAUGGCUCACCUAGGCGACGAUCCCUAGCUGGUCUGAGAGGAUGACCAGCCACACUGGAACGGAGACACGGUCCAGACUCCUACGGGAGGCAGCAGUGGGGAAUAUUGGACAAUGGGCGCAAGCCUGAUGCAGCCAUGCCGCGUGUGUGAAGAAGGCCUUCGGGUUGUAAAGCACUUUCAGCGGGGAGGCGUUACUCGCAGAAGAAGCACCGGCUAACUCCGUGCCAGCAGCCGCGGUAAUUC
rnacentral:rRNA from 1 species